rnacentral:lncRNA from 1 species
UUUUCUAACUCCAAAGUAUCUUAAUAUGGUGGCAAUGUCCUCUACCCUAGAAUAACCUUGACUCAAAAUGCGUGCUUGGCUUGGUUGCUGGAGGUCUGGUGCUGUUGCUUCCAGAAACUAAAGGGAAAGCUUUGCCUGAGACCAUCGAGGAAGCCGAAAAUAUGCAAAGACCAAGAAAAAAUAAAGAAAAGAUGAUUUACCUCCAAGUUCAGAAACUAGACAUUCCAUUGAACUAAGAAGAGAGACCGUUGCUGCUGUCAUGACCUAGCUUUGAUGGCAGCAAGACCAAAAGUAGAAAUCCCUGCACUCAUCACAAAGCCCAUACAACUCAACCAAACUUACCCCUGAGCCCUAUCAACCUAGGUCUACAGCCAGUGGAGUCUAUUGUACACUGUGGAAAAAUACCCAUGGGACCAGAUCCUGCCAAAUUCUUCCAGCUCACUUUAUUCUCAGCAUUCCUAGGACAUUGGACAUUGGUUUUCUGGAGGGUUUUUUUUCCAUCUUUGUAUUUUUUUAAAUUUGAUUCUUUUCUUUGCAAUGCUAUCUAACCAGAAUACAUAGGGGAACUGUGGGCUAGGCAAACAAAAUAGAAAAAAGUGUGAAAAACAGUAAAGUUGGGAGAGGAGCAUCUAUUUUCUUAAAGAAAUAAAACACCCAAAACAAUAUAAAGUUGUCCAGAAUGUAUGUCAAGAAUUUUAGAUAGGCCUUUCAGUAACACAGGUGAAGAAAUUUUUAAAAAUACAUUGAUUAUUAUCUAGGUUAGACUUAAAGUGAAUCUCAAAUAAAAGAAUCAGGAAUACAACUUAAGUGAUCAUGAGGUCCUUCCAUAUUUAGAUUGGGUAAGCAUGAAUGUGUAUUUUCUACAAAAGACCUUGAGAAGAG